rnacentral:rRNA from 1 species
CCUACGGGAGGCAGCAGUGGGGAAUAUUGCGCAAUGGACGAAAGUCUGACGCAGCGACGCCGCGUGAGGGAUGAAGGUCUUCGGAUCGUAAACCUCUGUCAUGAGGGAAGAACGCGCAUGGUGCUAAUCAGCCAUGACUUGACGGUACCUCCACAGGAAGCGCCGGCUAACUCCGUGCCAGCAGCCGCGGUAAUACGGAGGGCGCGAGCGUUAAUCGGAAUUACUGGGCGUAAAGCGCGCGUAGGCUGUUUGGUAAGUCUGAGGUGAAAUCCCACGGCUCAACCGUGGAACGGCCGUGGAUACUGCGCGACUUGAGUACGGGAGAGGAUAGCGGAAUUACAGGUGUAGGAGUGAAAUACGUAGAGAUCUGGAGGAACAUCAGUGGCGAAGGCGACCACCUGGACCGGUACUGACGCUGAUGCGCGAAAGCGUGGGGAGCAAACAGGAUUAGAUACCCGAGUAGUC